AUGUUCUCUGUAGCUCUGCUGCUGCUGUUGGCAGCUGGAUCCUGUGUGAAGUGUGAACAGUUGACACAGCCAGCCUCAGUGACUGUGCAGCCAGGUCAACGUCUGACCAUCACCUGUCAGGUCUCUUAUUCUGUUAGCAGCUAUUACACAGCUUGGAUCAGACAGCCUGCAGGGAAAGGACUGGAGUGGAUUGGAAUGGAAGCUGUUGGAUCCACGUCAUACUACAAAGAUUCACUGAAGAACAAGUUCAGUAUCAACUUGGACUCUUCCAGCAAAACAGUGACUCUAAAUGGACAGAAUAUGCAGACUGAAGACACUGCUGUGUAUUACUGUGCCAGAAUGAUGGACUAUAGGACAGGACUGCUGCUUCUAACUAUCUGCUGGACAGGUGUUGAUGGUCAGACUCUGACACAAUCUGAACCAGCAGUUAAAAAGCCUGGAGAAUCCCACAAACUGACCUGUACAGCCUCUGGAUUGUCAUUCAGCAGCAAAUGGAUGGCCUGGAUCAGACAGGCUCCUGGAAAAGGACUGGAGUGGAUUGCUUAUAUCAAUACUGGUGGUGGUAGCACAUACUACUCUCAGUCAGUUCAAGGCCGGUUCACCAUCUCCAGAGACAACAGCAGAGAGCAGCUGUAUCUGCAGAUGAACAGUCUGAAGACUGAAGAUUCUGCUGUUUAUUAUUGUGUUCGAGACUCACAGUGA